rnacentral:rRNA from 1 species
AUUGAACGCUGGCGGCAGGCCUAACACAUGCAAGUCGAACGAGUGGCGGACGGGUGUGUAAUGUCUGGGAAACUGCCUGAUGGAGGGGGAUAACUCCUGGAAACGGUAGCUAAUCCCGCAUACCAUCAGAUGUGCCCAGAUGGGAUUAGCGAGUUGGUGGGGUAACGGCUCACCAAGGCCACGAUCCAUAGCUGGUCUGAGAGGAUGACCAGCCACACUGGAACGGAGAGACGGUCCAGACUCCUACGGGAGGCAGCAGUGGGGAAUAUUGCGCAAUGGGCGCAAGCCUGAUGCAGCAAUGCCGCGUGUAUGAAGAAGGCCUUCGGAUUGUAAAGUACUUUCAGCGGGGAGGCGUUACCCGCAGAAGAAGCACCGGCUAACUCCGUGCCAGCAGCCGCGGUAAUUC